rnacentral:misc_RNA from 1 species
UUUCCGUAGGUGAACCUGCGGAAGGAUCAUUCAUAUUAAAGUGUUUUAUGGCACUUUUUAAAAUCCAUAUCCACCUUGUGUGCAAUGUUAGAUCUCGUCAAUCUUGGCGAGAUUUUUAUACAUCAACUCAUUCUUUAACUAAUUUGUCUGAAAAAUAUUAUGAAUACUUAAUUCAAAAUACAACUUUCAACAACGGAUCUCUUGGUUCUG